rnacentral:lncRNA from 1 species
UUGCCUAUAGAUCUGAAUUUCACGUGAAUGAUACUAUAAAAAUGAUUCCCCCACAAGAGAAUUGGAUUGGCUCAACCUCACCUCUGGAAUGGUUUCUCCUGGGCCAGUGUCCACCCCAAGGCCAAUCUGCUGUGGCUGGCCUCCAGGUCUCUUCACUAGGCAGCCAGAGCCACGGCGUCCUGGGGAGAGCCAAGGCCCUGACUCUCUAAUAACACAAGUGGACUCCUGGGAGCCCUUGCUCCACCCCUGGACUCCAGAGAAUUGAGCUGUUUCUUCUCAUCCUCUCCUCCUCUCCUCCUGGCUGAGACUUGCAGAGAUGGAUAGCAGCACAGUGUCUGACCUAGAAGGGCCACUGCGAAGCACCUCUUCAUUUGAUUUUAUCUAUCUAUCCAUUGAUUGAUCCAUCUAUCCAUUAUCUAUUUUUCUUGUGGUACAACAUACAAUUUACCCUCUUUUUUGGAGACAGGGUCUCAUUCUGUCAUCCAGGCUGGAGUGCAGUGGUGUGAUCAUAGCUUGCUGAAGCCUGAACUUUCUGGGAUCAAGAGAUCCUCCCACCUCAGCCUCCCUAGUAGCUGGGGUUACAGAUGCCCACCACUAUGCCCAGCUAAUUUUUUAUUAUUAUUAUUUUUUGUAGAGACAAGGUCUCCUUAUGUUGCCCAGGCUGAUCUUGAACUCCUGGGCUCAAACUAUCUUCCUGCCUCCACCUGCCAAAGUGCUGGGAUUGCAGGCAUGAGCCACCACACCUGGCCAAAUUUACCCUUUUAACCAUUUGUAAGUAUACAAUUCAGUGGUAUUAAGUACAUUCACAUUAUUGACCAACCAUCACCACAAUCCCACCCAGAAAUUUUUUUUCAUCCCUAACAGAAACUCUGUAUCCAUUAAAUACUAACUGCUG